UAUACAUCAUUUCCUAUUUUGUGAUAUUUACUGGAAAUGACAUCCAUUAUAACCAAAAGCAAGUUUGAAACUAAGCUCCCUGCCAACCUCCCUACAGACUAUUUAUGACUUCAAUCUAUCUAUCUAUCUAUAUCUAGGAUAAGCAUUUCUAAUCAUAUUUGUCUGUGAAAUCUUCCAUUAAACUGAUGGCUUUUUAGCCGUAAAAAUGCAUCUUGACGAGGAGUUAUUUGCAGUUUGACUAAUUGCUUUUGUUGUUUCUUUUGUAGGCUUUGAAAAACCUGGCAAUGAAUUAUUCUGGCUGAAUUCUGUCACUUAUCAAGCAAAAAUCUGAGUUGCAAUCAGAGUUCUUCAAAGAUCUCGACAAAUACACUCCUCGCUUCCUGGAGAAGUUCAAGACCCAGAGGGGGAAAGUGUCGGACAGAAACUUGAAUAUCUGCAACAAGUCACACCUGGGAGUACAGAUGUGACUGGGAGGUGAACAGCAGUCCUCCGUGGCUCUCCCGUCAUCCUUGGAGAUGACAACGCAGACUUCUUCAAGAAUUUGUGUGAGUUUAGGAUGGCGUGAAGCUUCGACUUGACCCUAUGGAAACACAGCAGAUGCCACCAAAGGGUCCUGAUCGGGGACUCUGAUGACCUUCUGGACGUGUCCCACACCUCCAUUGGGACCCUGACGGUGCUGAAGACACGGUGGCCUCCUCACUCGCUGGACCUGGAGUCUACAACUACUGCCAUCGUUUUGGGAGGAACAGUCGUGAUGGGUGACCGUGAUAAUCUUCCCCGUGCCGUGUGGCUACUCUUCGGACUUAUUUACCCCUGAAUUUGGAGUAUCCUCAACGAGUGAGGAACACCUUCUGAAUUUAUUCAUAGAGUGCUUCUCACUUGGACCAAAAACCCUAAAAUACAAUCACUCAAAAAUCUACUGAUGCCAUAAGGGACUGUGUUCAUGAUGUGCAGUCAGGCCCGAGAACUUCACCCUUCUAUCUCCAAUCGAACUCUUUUAUAGAAAGUCUGUUUUUGUUGUUUUUCUGUAGUUAAAUUUAGCAAAUGCCGAAAACGCUGUGUUCAUCAUAUUUCUGCAUUACAAAACCUAAUCUGGCAACAUGUUCAGCGUUUUAAGCACGUUGUUUGAGUUUUAAAACAUGUGUUUUUCUUCUAAAUAAACGUUGUCUUCCAUUGUAA